CAGGUGUAACAGUGCCUACAGGUGUAACAGUGUCUACAGGUGUAACAGUGUCUACAGGUGUAACAGUGCCUACAGGUGUAACAGUGUCUACAGGUGUAACAGUG